GGAAAAUGUCGAAAGGAGGAGGGAGGAGGCUAGGGUUUCGCAGUUAAACCCGAAAACUUUAGCCGACGAAAUAAAUAUUUCGUCGGCUAAAGUCUUAAAUUUCGUCGGCUAUACACCAAUUCGUCGGCUAAACCUUAUAAACUCGUCGGCUAAAACUUUGAAAUUCGUCGGCUAAACUUUAUAAAUUCGUCGGCUAAAACUUUGAAAUUCGUCGGCUAAACCUUUGAAAUUCGUCGGCUAAAAGUAUUUGUAUACAUUUGGCAUGUUGUGAUUGUGAUGGUCAAACUUGAGAAACAGAAAUCCGACCGUCAGAUCUGACCAUCAUGAUAAAAUACAUGUAUGGGAAAAAAUUCAACUUGAUCCGAAAAGAAUAAGGGCUCGAUCCGGACGGUCAAUCUCGUAAGUCAAACCCCUAAACGCACGGAAAAGGUCGUUCGACCGUCUAAAUUACGUAUUUUGGCCGGACCUCCAACUGAAAAUAGUUUUAAACCGAUGACACGCAACUAGUUGUAUAAAAAUUUUACGCAAAAUAACCACCGAAUAUAGGGCUACUCAUAGGGGGAAAAAAUGAAAAAUUGCAUUGACCGCAACUAUCGGCACCGAAUAUUUACCGGAAUAGUGUGUUUUUUCAACCGUGGAUGUAUUUCAACAUUCUCGUCAUAUCUUAUUUCAUGACUUUUUGGCGUUUGAAGGUUUUACGUAUAGUUUGUUUUUGAAACGGAACAUUUACGUAACACUUGGUAAACAAGUUAUACAACAUUAGUAUGCAUGUUGUGAUUGUGAUGAUCAAACUUGAGAAACAGAAAUCCGACCGUCAGAUCUGACCAUCAUGAUAAAAUACAUGUAUGGGAAAAAAUUCACCUUGAUCCGAAAAGAAUAAGGGCUCGAUCCGGACGGUCAAUCUCGUAAGUCAAACCCCUAAACGCACGGAAAAGGUCGUUCGACCGUCUAAAUUACGUAUUUUGGCCGGACCUCCAACUGAAAAUAGUUUUAAACCGAUGACACGCAACUAGUCGUAUAAAAAUUUUACGCAAAAUAACCACCGAAUAUAGGACUAUAGUAGGUAAUAGAAAAAUUUUAGGGUUUAGCCGACGAAUACCCUAACGUAUUCGUCGGGUAUAGUGUGUAAUUAAAAAAUUAAAAAAUAACUAGAGCCGACGAAAUAUUAGGUUAUUCGUCGGCAAAAACCAUGUUAGCCGACGAAUUAUAGUGUAUUCGUCGGCUAUACUAUGUAAUUAAAAAUUAAAAAUAACUA
rnacentral:lncRNA from 1 species